rnacentral:rRNA from 1 species
GAUGAACGCUGGCGGCGUGCCUAAUACAUGCAAGUCGAGCGAACGGACGAGAAGCUUGCUUUUCUGAUGUUAGCGGCGGACGGGUGAGUAACACGUGGAUAACCUACCUAUAAGACUGGGAUAACUUCGGGAAACCGGAGCUAAUACCGGAUAAUAUUUUGAACCGCAUGGUUCAAAAGUGAAAGACGGUCUUGCUGUCACUUAUAGAUGGAUCCGCGCUGCAUUAGCUAGUUGGUAAGGUAACGGCUUACCAAGGCAACGAUGCAUAGCCGACCUGAGAGCGUGAUCGGCCACACUGGAACUGAGACACGGUCCAGACUCCUACGGGAGGCAGCAGUAGAGAAUCUUCCGCAAUGGGCGAAAGCCUGACGGAGCAACGCCGCGUGAGUGAUGAAGGUCUUCGGAUCGUAAAACUCUGUUAUUAGGGAAGAACAUAUGUGUAAGUAACUGUGCACAUCUUGACGGUACCUAAUCAGAAAGCCACGGCUAACUACGUG